rnacentral:rRNA from 1 species
GGAUCCCUUCGGGGUGAAGCUCGUGGAACGAGCGGCGGACGGGUGAGUAACACGUGGGCAACCUGCCUGUAAGAUCGGAAUAACCCCGGGAAACCGGGGCUAAUGCCGGGUAAUACUUUUCUUCGCAUGAAGAUAAGUUGAAAGAUGGCUUCUCGCUAUCACUUACAGAUGGGCCCGCGGCGCAUUAGCUAGUUGGUGAGGUAACGGCUCACCAAGGCAACGAUGCGUAGCCGACCUGAGAGGGUGAUCGGCCACACUGGGACUGAGACACGGCCCAGACUCCUACGGGAGGCAGCAGUAGGGAAUCUUCCGCAAUGGACGAAAGUCUGACGGAGCAACGCCGCGUGAACGAUGAAGGUCUUCGGAUCGUAAAGUUCUGUUGUCAGGGAAGAACAAGUACCGUGCGAAUAGAGCGGUACCUUGACGGUACCUGACGAGGAAGCCCCGGCUAACUACGUGCCAGCAGCCGCGGUAAUACGUAGGGGGCAAGCGUUGUCCGGAAUUAUUGGGCGUAAAGCGCGCGCAGGCGGUUCCUUAAGUCUGAUGUGAAAGCCCACGGCUCAACCGUGGAGGGUCAUUGGAAACUGGGGAACUUGAGGACAGAAGAGGAGAGUGGAAUUCCACGUGUAGCGGUGAAAUGCGUAGAUAUGUGGAGGAACACCAGUGGCGAAGGCGACUCUCUGGUCUGUUUCUGACGCUGAGGUGCGAAAGCGUGGGUAGCAAACAGGAUUAGAUACCCUGGUAGUCCACGCCGUAAACGAUGAGUGCUAGGUGUUAGGGGGCUUCCACCCCUUAGUGCUGAAGUUAACGCAU